GCCAGCAUGGCAUAGUGGUUUGAGUGAUGGACUGCAACUGGACUGAGACCAGGGUUCGAUUCCCAGUUUGGUCA